rnacentral:rRNA from 1 species
UACGGAGGGGGCUAGCGUUGUUCGGAAUUACUGGGCGUAAAGCGCACGUAGGCGGCUUUGUAAGUUAGAGGUGAAAGCCCGGGGCUCAACCCCGGAAUAGCCUUUAAGACUGCAUCGCUUGAACACGGGAGAGGUGAGUGGAAUUCCGAGUGUAGAGGUGAAAUUCGUAGAUAUUCGGAAGAACACCAGUGGCGAAGGCGACUCACUGGACACGUAUUGACGCUGAGGUGCGAAAGCGUGGGGAGCAAACAGG